ensembl:lncRNA
AUGGCCCAUGGGAAUACGGGGCUCCGUGGGAGAGGAGAUGAAUCCAGCAGCCUUUAUGGUAAUAGCUCAACUACCACAACUCCCUCGUUUCCCCCGCUGAAAACGAGUGCACCCAUCAGGCCACGGCCUGUUCAGUCAAGUGUCCAGGAGACAGCGGAUCUGGCCCUGGCCAUCAGCCAGCAGUGGAGGGAGGAUAUGUCAGCCAUGCGUAAAGAGUUAGCUGAGCUCAGGAAGGAUCUGUGCACUGAGCUCAGAGCUUUCAACAGGAACUUUUCCACCUUUACGCAACAUUACAGCACCUGGUCACCGAGCUGGGUAAGGGAAACCCAGACAGCUGCUCCUCAAGUGUCCGUCAGCACCCAGGCUGGAAGCAAGACCCUGGUGCGACAGAACACAGCAGACGCAGCGGUUAACUGCCCGUCACCGGUUGAUGCCAACGUUUUAUCCAUGUCUCCUUCAGAACCCGCAGAUAGAAAUGUCCUGCAAGUCUCUGCCUCUUCACCAUUUUUUCAAACUGACCCCAACUCUGAAUUUUCAGACAUUGAUGAUCCUACUUUUGCAAAUCUUACCCCUCCAGAUCCUAUUGAUGUGGCGUCACUUUGUUGGCCUGAUCUAGAUUCAGACUCCAUGACUCCUCCAGAUCCCCCAGAACCAGUGCCAGAGGUAGAACCGUAUUGCUUUACGAAGUCAUCCACUUCUGAGCAUGUGGAAUCAGUUGUUUUAGACUUCACAAAUGUAGAACUGGUGAACGUGGCCAGUUUGCAGUGGCCUAAACUGGAUCCGGAUGAUACUGACACUCUACCCCAAGAAUUUCUUGAUUGUCCCUCUCGAGAAUCUCCAGAACAACCUGGUACAAAUACACCAGACCAUGAUAGCAUUACUACACAGGAACAGUCGGUUAUAGAAUCCAUGCAGACGUUUUUGCUGAGUCAUCCAGAUGAAGAACCUAUGGACUUCACAUCACUAGAAAUGGACUCCUUUGCCCUGAGUCCAGUGACCCCAGAUUCUAUGAAUCUUCAAGACUUAAAAUGGCCAAGUUUAGAAUCUCUUGAGCUCAGUGUUUCUGGCUCUCAAAGCCCAUGUCCUGUAGAUCUAGCCCUGCCAAACCCUCCGACACCAGAAACUGUUUAUGAGUGUUCCUGUGAAGCCUCAGUACAAGAACCACCCCUUCCAGAACUACUGGACACCAUUUAUCUCCAACCAGCAACUCCAGAGCCUGAAUCCCGAACAGAAUCUGACAUAUCAAACCCAGCAAGUCCUGAACCUCAUUUUCCUACUUGUCAAAAGCCAGCAGCACAUGAACUAGACACUCAGGCUCUUGUUUUGUGGUCAAAAAAGGAAACAUUCAUGGGCUGUGCAGAAGAAGGUGGUGCCAUGAACAUCCCAGAGUCCUAUUUCGAAGAAGAUAUUGGCCAGAUUGUAUAUUCUUCUACCCCCAUUAUAAAUUUCCCAAUCCAACCAGACACUGUGGACUCAGCUCCUCUGGAGUCUGAGACUCUCUUCUCUGCCAUUCUGUGCUCAGUUGAGUCAGAUAGCUUAGAUCCUGAAGUUACUAGCAUAGAUGAACCAAUGUCACAGGAGCUGAACCCACCUGGACUUGCUACCAUAGACCCAGCGACUGUGCACCCCUUCAAUUUAUCCCUGUUGGAGCUCCAGUCAGCCUUAGAUGUAUCUAAGAGUGAAACAAGCGAUAAUGGGUCACCAAGGGGAACAGCAGCCAUAAGCAGCCCUUCUCAUUCACCAUCCGCUAGGGAUUUCCUUUGGAUUCGGUGGCAGCGGAAAGCACGUGGACGGCAGCUGUUGUCACGGAGUGCCAGUAUGGAAAUUUUCCACAAGAAAUACUCUAACAAUUCAGAGAUGUCCUAUAUGUCACUGUCACUCUGA